rnacentral:lncRNA from 1 species
CCCUCAGGGAUAGGGACCUCUAACUUCCUAAAGAAGAGUGUGAAUAGCAUGCCAUAAAGGAGACUCAACCUAGGUUUAUCUAGGGGUUCAAAGAUAUAUUUGUAGAUGAGUUUGGGGAAGUUGAUGGAAGUGUCUUAGAGAAUGUGGAACAUCAAUGCUAGGUCUCUCUCGGAGAUGAAGUCAAACCUACCAGUUUUGAGAAAGAGAGUCCUAAAAAUGAUAC